CCUAUUUUAAUAAUAUUUAAUUUAAGCAAUAAAGUCCCCCACCGCUCAUUUACCAGUCUUUCCCAUAAAUAACUUAUCUUUGAUUGGUUUUUAUAGAUAAAGGUUAAAACUUGCUGAAAGCUGCAGUCCUCCUAAAUUAUAGAAAUUUAUAAUAUCUAAAAAUCAUUUCAAAACAAGAAUAGAAGAAAAACAACUUACCAUUAUGAUGACAAAAUGUAGUAACAACUGUACAUAGUUUUUCCAUAUCUAACUUGAACAACACACAAACAUUCUGUAGAAUCUUCAUCCUCUCCAUUAAAAAUUAAACAGUUGUUUUUGGUGUUACACCAAUUAAGCUUGGUAAUUUUUCCAGAAAAAAAUAAUGUCUGAGCCAUUUUCCUUAAUGGAAACUUGUCUUUCACUGGCUAAUUUUAUAACCUCUGCCUCUGACAAUAACACGAUUAAACACAACUUUUUUCUAAAAAGCACCAACAAUUAUUUGAAUCUUGUGCUGCUACCAUGUUUGUAUUUUACUUGGCACUGCUCAGUGGUCAGUUGGGGCAUUGUAGGGAUAAGUUCUUAAGUCAUGCAUCAAUGUUGAAUAAAUGGACAGGUCAAAAAUAUUUAAUGUUUAUAAUUUAUGAAACAUACUGGCAGUUUCAAGGGUUUAUAUUGAUUCAAUAUAAAAGUAUAUCAUAAAAAAAUAUUUCAUUAUCAAAAAGAAGUAUAUGCAGAUUUUCCUGUAUGUGGCCCCCUUCAGAGACAGAACUACAGGAAAUUAAUUCCAGAUGUGAACUCAG
rnacentral:lncRNA from 1 species